AUUGAACGCUGGCGGCAUGCUUUACACAUGCAAGUCGAACGGUAACAGGUUAAGCUGACGAGUGGCGAACGGGUGAGUAAUGCAUCGGAACGUGCCCGGUCGUGGGGGAUAACGCAGCGAAAGCUGCGCUAAUACCGCAUACGAUCUGAGGAUGAAAGCGGGGGACCGUAAGGCCUCGCGCGAUCGGAGCGGCCGAUGUCAGAUUAGGUAGUUGGUGGGGUAAAGGCUCACCAAGCCAACGAUCUGUAGCUGGUCUGAGAGGACGACCAGCCACACUGGGACUGAGACACGGCCCAGACUCCUACGGGAGGCAGCAGUGGGAAUUUUGGACAAUGGGCGAAAGCCUGAUCCAGCAAUGCCGCGUGCAGGAAGAAGGCCUUCGGGUUGUAAACUGCUUUUGUACGGAGCGAAAAGGUCUCCUCUAAUACAGGGGGCUCAUGACGGUACCGUAAGAAUAAGCACCGGCUAACUACGUGCCAGCAGCCGCCGCGG
rnacentral:rRNA from 1 species